rnacentral:rRNA from 1 species
GAGUUUGAUCCUGGCUCAGGACGAACGCUGGCGGCGUGCUUAACACAUGCAAGUCGAACGGUAAGGCCCCUUCGGGGGUACACGAGUGGCGAACGGGUGAGUAACACGUGGGUAAUCUGCCCUGCACUUCGGGAUAAGCCUGGGAAACUGGGUCUAAUACCGGAUAUGAACUCCUGCCGCAUGGUGGGGGUUGGAAAGUUUUUCGGUGCAGGAUGAGCCCGCGGCCUAUCAGCUUGUUGGUGGGGUAAUGGCCUACCAAGGCGACGACGGGUAGCCGGCCUGAGAGGGUGAUCGGCCACACUGGGACUGAGACACGGCCCAGACUCCUACGGGAGGCAGCAGUGGGGAAUAUUGCACAAUGGGCGAAAGCCUGAUGCAGCGACGCCGCGUGGGGGAUGACGGUCUUCGGAUUGUAAACCCCUUUCAGUAGGGACGAAGCGCAAGUGACGGACUGCAGAGAGGCC